rnacentral:tRNA from 1 species
GGUUUUAUGGUAUAGUUGGUUAUCACGUCAGUCUAAAACACUAAAGGUCUCCAGUUCAACUCUGGGCGAAGCCA